rnacentral:rRNA from 1 species
AGUGAACGCUGGCGGUAGGCCUAACACAUGCAAGUCGAACGGCAGCACAGUAAGAGCUUGCUCUUACGGGUGGCGAGUGGCGGACGGGUGAGGAAUACAUCGGAAUCUACUUUUUCGUGGGGGAUAACGUAGGGAAACUUACGCUAAUACCGCAUACGACCUACGGGUGAAAGCAGGGGAUCUUCGGACCUUGCGCGAUUGAAUGAGCGGAUGUCGGAUUAGCUAGUUGGCGGGGUAAAGGCCCACCAAGGCGACGAUCCGUAGCUGGUGUGAGAGGAUGAUCAGCCACACUGGAACUGAGACACGGUCCAGACUCCUACGGGAGGCAGCAGUGGGGAAUAUUGGACAAUGGGCGCAAGCCUGGUCCAGCCAUACCGCGUGGGUGAAGAAGGCCUUCGGGUUGUAAAGCCCUUUUGUUGGGAAAGAAAAGCAGCAGGUUAAUACCCCGCUGUUCUGACGGUACCCAAAGAAUAAGCACCGGCUAACUUCGUG